UACGAAGGGUGCAAGCGUUAAUCGGAAUUACUGGGCGUAAAGCGUGCGUAGGCGGUUUGUUAAGUCUGUUGUGAAAGCCCUGGGCUCAACCUGGGAAUGGCAAUGGAUACUGGCAAGCUAGAGUCAGGUAGAGGGUGGUGGAAUUCCCGGUGUAGCGGUGAAAUGCGUAGAGAUCGGGAGGAACAUCUGUGGCGAAGGCGGCCACCUGGACCACGACUGACGCUGAGGCACGAAAGCGUGGGGAGCAAACAGG
rnacentral:rRNA from 1 species